AAUGGAAAGAACGGCGAUCUUUAAUUAUGCCGUCAUUUUAUUUUUUUCUCAACAUUUUGCCUGUCGUUUGUGUCUAUUAAAAAUAUAUUUCUUGAUUAAAAUGUGAAAAAAGUGCGUUGACGGUGUAGGCUUCAUAUCAUCGAGAAAAGAUGAAGCAAACGAAAAAAAGGAAGAUCUAUGAAGAAAUCGAUGUGUGCGUGAAGAGUAAAGAAUAUGGAAAAAAAGAAGAGCAUCACUCCCAGAAACACGAUCAUAAAUGGGAUUCGGAUGCAACACCAUAUGGACUUUAAGCCGAACGUGAACGUAGUCGUAAUGAUGAAAUCAGCUGCGAUGUUUACAUAGCUGCCAAACGGUAUGUUCAUUCGUCUCUUUUACACGAUUUAAAUAGAAUA